rnacentral:piRNA from 1 species
UACUUAGCAAGCGGACACGUGGCUCUACC